GCAUAGUGGGGGCUGCGCACCCCUUUUUAUGGUCUUCACUGUUGCUAGGUAACUAGGGAGGAGUUUAGCCUGAAGGUCAGAAGCUUGGGCCAUUGCUUAUGUGACUACUGACCAUGCUUCUCUUGUAGGGGCUGUGGGAGGUGGUACCUUAGGCAGGAGCCAGAGUUCCAGGAGCAUGAGAGAACGCCUACCAUGUCAUGUAGGUGAAUUAUUGUAGCCUCCCCCCCCAGCCUGAAGUGGGCUGGUACAAACCUUGUCACCACUGAGGUGGGGCCACCUGCGGUGCAGCUUUCGACUUGGCUGUCUCCUUUUUGAGGUGACAACUGCCCUGCUCUUCUGCUUCCUGAGACAUUCCUGAAUAAGCAACCAGCCUGGUGACCAAGUGCUGACAGAAUGGCUCCAGGCACCAAGAGUAGACUGGGGGGGGGGGGGGGGGUGUGCAGAUGCGGAUGGGCCUUCCCCCUUAUAAGCACAGUCUCUUAGUAAACUCGUGGGCCUUGAACAGAAACGUGUCUUGGUCUCCACUAAUUUCUCUUGCCGUCUAAGUCUCUUUCAGCCCCAGCCUGUCUCCCAGGUGUGCAGGGUUCAUGUAGGCCAAGGGCUGGCAUACAACAAAUUAUGACCACUAGGGUUCAGACCUCAGCUCGACUGGAGACCAGCCUGCAAUUCCCCACAGUUUACUGACUCUCAGACCAGCUGGCAGGAGAGUCCUGGAGCAGAGCCCAGCUUCUUUGGCCUUCUAACACAGAAUGGAGACAAGAGAGUCUUCAGGAAUCCUCCAGACCUUCAGUGCCAACUAGAACUUCCGGCACAUCCAGCCUCAUGGACUGAGCAGUUACCAGGUGAAAGGUUAUUUUUCCGCUGCCUCAGGUGAAAUGAGCCAGUUCAUGCCAGAUUAGAUUAUAUUAAAGGCAGGUUUCUUUGGAGGCCCCAAGGAUUGAGGCCAGGGGAGUCGCCAUGGGGAAGAGGGGAGGAAGGGAGAAAAAGAGAAAGGGCAUGCAUGGAGAGAGAGAAGAGAAGGAGGAAGAGGAGCAGAAGAGAGAGCAAAAUGUCUGGAUUAUAGAGAAGAGCCACUGGGGAAAGAGCAGCCCAACCACUGUUGUAGAAAAUUCAAGGUUGGGGUAGGGUAAGCCAGGUAGGGACUGAGGGAUGCUGGAAGAACCUGGAGGCCAGGCCUAUUUUGUUAUGUAAAUUAUGCACCUCAGUCCCCUUUCCUGGGAUCCGAAAGCAAAUACUAGGUUCUCAACCUCCUAAGUACGCAGACAACCGUUGUUGGACUGCCUAGCUGCAGUGUCUAUCCUUGGUUAUCAACUUGACUACAUCUGGAAUUAACUAAAACCCCAAAAUUGUUGGGUACUCUUGCAAGGGUUUUAGUUAGUUGGAUCAUUUGAGGUAGGAAGGCCCUAAGUCUGGGCUAUGGCAGCCUAUAUAAAGGACAAGAGGGAGAGAGAGAGAGAGAGAGAGAGAGAAAGUAAGUAAGUGUUUGCUGUUUGCUCUUCUCUAGAUUUUGAUGGCAUGUACUGAGGACCCAGACUGGAUGAGAUGUCCAGCCUCAUGACUGCCCUACUACUGGACUCUUGGGACUUUCUGUUGGGAGACGGCCAUUGUUGAACUGUAAGGAGAGAGCCACCGCAACCAGUCUGUCUUGAAGGCAACUCUCCCAUGUUUGCUCCCACAUUUUGU
rnacentral:lncRNA from 1 species